GGGGUCGUAGCGAAGCCAGGCAUCGCAACGGGCUCCAGAUCUAACAACAAAUGGGCUAGUUAGAGAAAGAAACCCGUGGGUCAAGGGUUCAAAUGGCUGCGGUUAAUCCCGCGCCAGGACAAAUCCCUUCGGCCCCA
rnacentral:tRNA from 1 species